UCGGGAAUCUUGCACAAUGGGCGAAAGCCUGAUGCAGCAACGCCGUGUGAGCGAUGAAGGCCUUAGGNUCGUAAAGCUCUGUUGUUAGGGACGAAGGGCGAAGGGUUAAUAGCCCUUAGCCUGACGGUACCUUUCGAGGAAGCCCC
rnacentral:rRNA from 1 species